rnacentral:misc_RNA from 1 species
CGGUGAAGAAGUGGAAACCCUAAAACGCCCUCUUUUCCUGCUAAAUCUUAACCCAGCUCAAAGUACAAGGCUCUGCCGCUGCAACCAUAGCAAUGGCGGGCGAUGCCACGCAAAUUGAUCAAAAUCCCAUCGUGAACCCGUCCGAGUUCCAGCCAAGUCCUCCACAAGAUGAGCAACCACCUCCUCCUCUCUCAAAAAAUGCCCAAAAGAAGCUGUUGAAGCUGCAGAAAUACGAGGCCAAGAAGGCGGAGAAAAAAGCCUCAAUUAAAGAGCAGAAGAAGCGAGAGGCCGAGAGAAAGCGCAAAGAAUGGGAGGAAACCCUCACCGGUGUCUCGGAAGAGGAGAGGUUAACGCUCAUCGAGUCGAGAAGAAAGCUUAGGAAGGAGAGAAUGGAGAAACGAUCUGAGGAAAGGGAAAGCAAGAUACAGAGGCUUACCGGAGCCAAAACCAACGGCCAAAAAAUCGUCAUUGAUCUCGAAUUCUCUCACCUCAUGACCUCCUCUGAGAUCCACAGCCUUGUUCAACAGAUUAUGUAUUGCUAUGCGGUGAAUGGAAGAUGCGCUUCUCCUGGUCACCUCUGGUUGACGGGUUGCAGGGGGGAAAUGGAGAACGAAUUGCAAAGGCUUCCAGGAUUUGACAAAUGGAUAAUUGAGAAAGAAUGUCGAUCUUAUGUUGAAGCAUUGGAAGAUCAGAAAGAAAAUCUAGUUUAUCUUACAGCAGAUGCUGAAAUGGAGUUGGAUGAACUUGAUCCCAAAAAAAUAUAUAUUGUUGGUGGGUUAGUGGAUCGGAAUCGGUGGAAAGGGUUAACCAUGAAGAAAGCACAAGAACAGGGAAUCCAAACUGCAAAACUACCCAUAGACAAUCACUUGAAGAUGUCAAGUUCUCAGGUCCUUACAGUAAACCAAGUGAUAGAGAUACUCCUUAAGUUCUUGGAAACAAGAGAUUGGAAGGCUUCAUUCUUGCAAGUAAUCCCCCAAAGGAAAAGAUGCGAUGCUGAUUCAACAGAAAAUCAAGUAGAUGGGGAAGAGUGCAGGGAGAAAGAUGAACCAUCUGAGAAGAAAAAGAGCUGCAUUUUAUGAUUCUUGCAGCUAGCAGAACUUGUGAGCUAUAAAUUUGAAUGUCAUACGGGCUGUUUUUUGUCUGUAUAACUGAAAAAUUGUAUGCCUAACAUCAGUUUUCAAUGCAAGCUUCCCAUUUUUCAGUUAUACAGACAAAAAACAGC